UUUCCCAUACUGAGUCUACUCCUCUAUCAUCUUGGAGCUUAUUAAUCUAUAAUCACAGGGUAGGAACUGCAGUACGCUAAUCUAAAAGAAGCCUAACGUGCUGUAAAUAAACUGGAGUUUCUUGAUUUUGAAACAAAAUAUUAAUCUGAAAUAAGUGUAAACACACGCAUCAGAUUUUUCAUUUCUAACAGUGUCUGGAGCUCCAUCAAAUGGCAAUGUGAUUUGAAAUUGAAAACUGACUAUGUUUGAAUUUAUAAUUCUGAAUAGUAAUUUAACUGAUAAAUCUGUUUCUGCUUCUGUCCUUGUUUCCAGGCAAAUUUGAGAAUAAGUGCAGAUGGAGUAGGGUCCAUAAGUGGCAGGUUAUUGCUAGGUACAGCCGAAGUCAUACCACCUGAUGAGGUGCAGGAGAUGCAUUCAUUUGAGCAGUUCUGUAUGGUGAGAUGGUUGCAGAUUGCUGACUACUGAGACAGUUUUGAAAUCUUCGUUACACAGCCUGUUUGUUCCAUUUUCUUGGGACUAGGUUUAUGCACCAGCAUGCCACCAGAGAGGAUGCUGCCUUUUGCUGCGCAAGUGGCUGGCUGCGGUUGCAAAGGUUUGGGGGCUCGAAGCAGCCUUCCUCGUCGCACAGACCCACACCUGGCCGGCUAUUGAUCAGAAUUCGGUAAUGGCCUGCCUGCUUUCCAUGCUUACAAAUAUUCCAAUGAGAUAAAUGAAUGAUAGUAGUUGGCGAUCAAACGGAAAAAGAACAGCCUGCACCUGCAGAACUAGUGUAGAUCAAGACUGUGAUGCCCAGGAGUUAUGUUCUGUUGUAUGCCUAUGAAAACCUAAGUAUUUCUUUUAUGAGUUUUGUUUACCCAGUUAA